UGGGGAAUUUUGGACAAUGGGCGAAAGCCUGAUCCAGCAAUGCCGCGUGCAGGAAGAAGGCCUUCGGGUUGUAAACUGCUUUUGUACGGAACGAAAAGGCUCUUUCUAAUAAAGAGGGCCCAUGACGGUACCGUAAGAAUAAGCACCGGCUAACUACGUGCCAGCAGCCGCGGUAAUACGUAGGGUGCGAGCGUUAAUCGGAAUUACUGGGCGUAAAGCGUGCGCAGGCGGUUCUAUAAGACAGAUGUGAAAUCCCCGGGCUCAACCUGGGAAUGGCAUUUGUGACUGUAGAGCUAGAGUACGGUAGAGGGGGAUGGAAUUCCGCGUGUAGCAGUGAAAUGCGUAGAUAUGCGGAGGAACACCGAUGGCGAAGGCAAUCCCCUGGACCUGUACUGACGCUCAUGCACGAAAGCGUGGGGGGCAAACAGGAUUAGAUACCCACGUAGUCCCUGAGCGGGCUGGCAAGGCGCAU
rnacentral:rRNA from 1 species